rnacentral:rRNA from 1 species
UACGGGGGGGGCAAGCGUUGUUCGGAAUUACUGGGCGUAAAGGGUUUGUAGGUGGCUUGUUAAGUCAGACGUGAAAUCCCUCAGCUUAACUGGGGAACUGCGUCUGAUACUGGCGAGCUUGAGUGCAGGAGAGGAACGCGGAAUCCCAGGUGUAGCGGUGAAAUGCGUAGAUAUCUGGAGGAACACCGGUGGCGAAGGCGGCGUUCUGGACUGCAACUGACACUGAGAAACGAAAGCCAGGGUAGCAAACGGG